rnacentral:tRNA from 1 species
AUAACCGUGCCUGAUAAAAGGCCUUCUUGAUACGUUGUACAUGCUAAUAGCCGGUUAUU